rnacentral:rRNA from 1 species
AACGAACGCUGGCGGCAUGCCUAACACAUGCAAGUCGAACGAGACCUUCGGGUCUAGUGGCGCACGGGUGCGUAACGCGUGGGAACCUGCCCUUAGGUUCGGAAUAACUCCCCGAAAGGGGUGCUAAUACCGGAUAAUGUCUUCGGACCAAAGAUUUAUCGCCUUUGGAUGGGCCCGCGUUGGAUUAGCUAGUUGGUAGGGUAAAAGCCUACCAAGGCGACGAUCCAUAGCUGGUCUGAGAGGAUGAUCAGCCACACUGGGACUGAGACACGGCCCAGACUCCUACGGGAGGAAGCAGUGGGGAAUAUUGGAAAAUGGGCGAAAGCCUGAUCCAGCAAUGCCGCGUGAGUGAUGAAGGCCUUAGGGUUGUAAAGCUCUUUUAAACGGGAUGAUAAUGACAGUACCGGGAGAAUAAGCGCCGGCUAACUACGUG